rnacentral:rRNA from 1 species
UACAGAGGUCCCAAGCGUUGUUCGGAUUCAUUGGGCGUAAAGGGUGCGUAGGUGGCGCCGUAAGUGGGGUGUGAAAUUUCGGAGCUCAACUCCGAAACUGCAUUCCAUACUGCGGUGCUUGAGGACUGGAGAGGAGACUGGAAUUCAUGGUGUAGCAGUGAAAUGCGUAGAGAUCAUGAGGAAGACCAGUGGCGAAGGCGGGUCUCUGGACAGUUCCUGACACUGAGGCACGAAGGCUAGGGGAGCGAACGGG